rnacentral:rRNA from 1 species
CAGUCUGCAACUCGACUGCACGAAGCUGGAAUCGCUAGUAAUCGCGGAUCAGCACGCCGCGGUGAAUACGUUCCCGGGCCUUGUACACACCGCCCGUCACACCAUGGAAGUCUGCAAUGCCCGAAGCCGGUGGCCUAACCACUUAUGUGGAAGGAGCCGUCUAAGGCAGGGCAGAUGACUGGGGUGAAGUCGUAACAAGGUAGC